AUUGAACGCUGGCGGCAGGCCUAACACAUGCAAGUCGAGCGAGCGGCGGACGGGUGAGUAAUGUCUGGGAAACUGCCUGAUGGAGGGGGAUAACUACUGGAAACGGUAGCUAAUACCGCAUACCAUCAGAUGUGCCCAGAUGGGAUUAGCUAGUGGGUGGGGUAACGGCUCACCUAGGCGACGAUCCCUAGCUGGUCUGAGAGGAUGACCAGCCACACGGGAAUUGAGACACGGUCCAGAUUCUGACGGGAGGAAGAAGUGGGGAUUAUUGCACAAUGGGCGAAAGCCGGAUGCAGCCAUGCCGCGGGUGUGAAGAAGGCCUUCGGGUUGUAAAGCACGUUCAGCGGGGAGGCGGUACCCACAGAAGAAGCAACGGCUAACUCUGUGCCAGCAGCCGCGGUAAUAC
rnacentral:rRNA from 1 species